rnacentral:rRNA from 1 species
UACAGAGGUCCCAAGCGUUGUUCGGAUUCACUGGGCGUAAAGGGUGCGUAGGCGGUCGGGUAAGUCUGAUGUGAAAUCUCACAGCUUAACUGUGAAACUGCAUUGGAUACUAUCCGGCUCGAGGAAUGGAGGGGAGACUGGAAUACUUGGUGUAGCAGUGAAAUGCGUAGAUAGCAAGUGGAACACCAGUGGCGAAGGCGAGUCUCUGGACAUUUCCUGACGCUGAGGCACGAAAGCCAGGGGAGCAAACGGG